rnacentral:rRNA from 1 species
AGUUUGAACAUGGCUCAGGAACAACGCUGGCGGCGUGCUUAACACAUGCAAGUCCAACGGUAAGGCCCCUUUUUUUGGGGUUGUACGAGUGGCGAACGGGUGAGUAACACGUGAGUAACCUGCCCCAGACUUUGGGAUAACAGUUGGAAACGAUUGCUAAUACUGGAUAUGAGCUGCUGCCGCAUGGUGGUGGUUUGAAAGUUCCGGCGGUUUGGGAUGGGCUCGCGGCCUAUCAGCUUGUUGGUGAGGUGAUGGCUUACCAAGGCUUCGACGGGUAGCCGGCCUGAGAGGGCGACCGGCCACAUUGGGACUGAGAUACGGCCCAAACUCCUACGGGAGGCAGCAGUGGGGAAUAUUGCACAAUGGACGGAAGUCUGAUGCAGCAACGCCGCGUGCGGGAUGACGGCCUUCGGGUUGUAAACCGCUUUCAUCCAUGACGAAGCUUUUGUGACGGUAGUGGGUAAAGAAGCACCGGCUAACUACGUGCCAGCAGCCGCGGUGAUACGUAGGGUGCGAGCGUUGUCCGGAUUUAUUGGGCGUAAAGAGCUUGUAGGCGGUUUGUCGCGUCGGGGGUGAAAACUCGGAGCUUAACUUUGAGCUUGCUUUCGAUACGGGCUGACUUGAGGGAGGUAGGGGAGAAUGGAAUUCCUGGUGGAGCGGUGGAAUGCGCAGAUAUCAGGAGGAACACCGGUGGCGAAGGCGGUUCUCUGGACCUUUCCUGACGCUGAGAAGCGAAAGCGUGGGGAGCGAACAGGCUUAGAUACCCUGGUAGUCCACGCCGUAAACGGUGGGUACUAGGUGUGGGGGACAUUCCACGUUCUCCGUGCCGUAGCUAACGCAUUAAGUACCCCGCCUGGGGAGUACGGCCCGCAAGGCUAAAAACUCAAAGGAAAUUGACGGGGCCCCGCACAAGCGGCGGAGCAUGCGGAUUAAUUCGAUGCAAACGCGAAGAACCUUACCUGGGUUUGACAUAUGCCGGGAGCGUUCAGAGAUGGGCGUGCCUUUUUGGUCGGUUUACAGGUGGCGCAUGGCUGUCGUCAGCUCGUGUCGUGAGAUGUUGGGUUAAGUCCCGCAACGAGCGCAACCCUCGUCCAAUGUUGCCAGCGGGUUAUGCCGGGGACUCAUUGGAGACCGCCGGGGUCGAACUCGGAGGAAAGGUGGGGAUGAACGUCAAGUCAUCAUGCCCCUUAUGUCCGAGGGCUUCGACGCAUGCUACGAAUGGCCGGUACGAAAGAGCUGCGAGCCUGUGAGGGUGAGCGAAAUCUCGGAAAAGCCGGUCUCGGUUUCGGAAUUGAGGGUCUGCGAACUCGGACCCCGUGAAGUCGGAGUCGCUAGGAAUCCGGAAUCAGGCAAACGCUGCGAGUGAAAUCGUUUCCCGGGGCUUGUAGCACCGCCCCGUCA